ensembl:lncRNA
CGCGAGUAGAAGAAGGACGGAACGGCAACAACAAACAUGGAGGCGGCUCCGUUCGUCGGCUUCUCUCCGGAGCGCUACUGGACGGAGGAGAAGGAGAGGGCGCUCAUUGCGUUUUUCUCCAAGAACAGUUGUCUUUGGAACCACAAGUCUGAGCACUACAAGAACCGCCAGCUACGAUGGAAAACCCUGGAACACCUGAGAAUCCUCCUGUCCACUCACCCACCUCCUGUUUCUUUCACAGUCGAAGACAUCAAGAACAAGUUCAAGAACCUCCGUACCACCUUCCAGCGUCAGUACAAGAUGGUCAGAGCGAGCAAAGGUUGCAGUUCGGAUGAUGUUUUCGUGCCGCAGUGGAAACACUACCAGCAGCUGAUGUUCCUGCAGGGCUGCUGGGACCAAGACGACGGCAUUGAUGAUCCACCGCUAUCACCGCUGACCAUUCCAGACGAGGAGAACCAGCCGGUCCUCUCCUCUCCAGGACUCAUCAUCUCCUUCCUCCCCACUCCGUCCACCUCCUCCGCCUCCACCUCGUCCUCCUGCAUCCCCUCCAACAUCAUGGUGAAGUGUUACUGGACUGAGGAGAGGGAGCGAGCGCUGAUAUCGUUCUACUCUGAGCACAGCUGUCUGUGGAACAAGAAGUCUGAAAACCACAACAACCGUCAGCUGCGACUGAGGCUGCUGGAGGCUCUGAGGACCCAGCUGUCCGACCACUCGGUGACGUUCUCAGUCGAAGAUGUAAAGUGCAAGUUCAAGAACCUUCGGACUGUGUUUAACCGUGAAUACAAAGCAGUCCAGACCAGCAGGGCGACCGACAAACCCUAUGUGUCCAAAUGGAAACACUACCAGCAUCUGCUCUUCCUCUGCGAGUCAUGCGAGGAAGACGACGCCACAGACGACCUGCAGAUACUGAUGUCGCAGGAGGACAAAGAUCUGGAACAUGGAAACCAGACUCCCUCGUCCACCCUGAGCAGCUUCUCCUGCAGCUCCAACCAAAGCAACAGUGUGAAGCUCAACAACGCCUCCUUUCCCUCCAGCUCCAGCCAGAGCGCCACCAAAACCAACUCCAGUGCUGCGUACCAGAUCUUCCUCUCCACAACCCCGGAUAACCUGAAACUAGCCGAACAAAUGGCAGCUUCCACCCUCCCGUCCUCGCCGUCCAGUUCACUGCCAGACUCCAAACCUUGUGUAAACCCUUCAUCUUUGAAUUUCUCUGCGUCCAGUUCAGUUCAGCCAGACAGCAGACUGAGCGUCGACUCCCGCUGCCUCUGGAGUGAAGCCAAAGUCCAGCAGCUCAUUUCAUUUUACUCCGGGUCAUUCCAUCUCAAAUCAUCAGACAAUUUCCGAGGGCAAGAGGGCAUGAUACAGUUUCUAAAAGUUCAGACGGUGAUUAAAUU